AAGAGUGAAUCCAGUCUCGCUGCUCCGCCAUCGAAGCCGUCUGUAUCUUUUUGUUUUGUUUUGGUCGGAGUUUAUUUGCUCUAGAGAGACCAGUCACCUGGUAUGGAACAUCUACUAAUUUCAGAGAAUUUUGCAUGUUCGUCUCGGUGUGUCGUUACACAAUUUGCGGAUGCUGCAACGACACUGAAGCCUGCGUAGAGGUGACGGGCGGCGAAGAAGCUAGCCAAGCUGUGAAAACGGACAUAGACAUAUGGGGUUUGUGCUAGAGGAUGCUAAAGGUCUAUCACUUAAUGGGGACCUCAAUGUGCAUCCAGUGAUUGCAAGGUCUUUUCCCCUACACAUCCAAUCUUUUUGUUUAUGAACUAUACUCAUCAAGUCUUGGUGGUGUUCCUAAUGCAAAUGGGGAUUCAAUGACAACACGAGUAGCUGUUGAUCACCAUAUGCAUCAAGAUUUUUCAACCAACAAGUAAAAGUUCAGACAUGUCUUUCAGUCACAUUAUUGCUCUGGAUGUCAAGGAGCACCCUGUCGUCAUCUAUAUGAAGGGUUAUCCUGAUGCUCCUAGGUGUGGGUUCAUUGCAUUAGGAGUGAAGGUCGUCCAGCAAUAUGGUAAUUUGUCUAUAAGUGCGGCUUAUUUCAAAUGCAAGUUACGGUGGUAUCGUCUUCAAGCACACCUCUUCAAGCAGCAAUUGCCGAUGUUCAAAAGGUAUCGUAGUUUAACACACAAGUUACUGUGGUUUGUCAAAAAAAGAACAAUAGCACAUCUUGCUGUUAUCAUACCACUUUAAUUUGUUGAAAGGAAAAGGUUCCAAAUAGAAGGCGAAUGUUGAGUUGUAACUCAUUUGUAUUU